GGAAGGAAGAGGUGAGAGAAAGAAAGAGUACAAAUGCAUAUAAAACUUGGAGGAAGAAGAGAAAGAAAUUAAGGAAUUACUAAACCUUUUUUUUUUUUUCUUUUUGAGACAGAGUCUUGCUCUGUUGUCCAGGCUGGAGUACAGAGGCGUGAUCUCGACUCACUGCAACCUCCGUGUUACAGGCUCAGGGAUUCUCCUGCCUCAGCCUCCCAAGUAGCUGGGACUACAGGCAUACAUCACCACGCCCAGCUAAUUUUUUUUUUCUUUUGUAGUUUUAGUAGAGAUGGGGUUUCACCGUGUUAGCCAGGCUGGUCUUGAACUCCUGACCUCAAGUGAUCUGCCCACCUUGGCCUCCCAAAGUGCUGGGAUUACAGGCGUGAGCCACCGCACCUGGCCAAAACCUUUAUUUUCUCAAUGAAGCAGACAUUCACUCCACAGACCUUAUGUACUAUAUGCAGAACACUCAAUAAAUGCCUCUUGGCCCAGCUGAGGCUCAGUAGCUGAUCAUUCACUAAGAAGGCAGAGGGCUCUGCUGAUGCAAAAGGGAUACCGGGUUCAGGAUUUCAACUGGGGGAAGUUUCCAUUGAGCCUUCUAAGUGCAGGGAGCCUCCUGACCUCAAGUGAUCCGCAGAUCUCGGCGCCCCCAUAGAGUGUUGAAGCAUCCCGGGCCACCAUCUGUGGCCCAAAAGGUUUUUUAAGGGGCAAGAAUCCUUUUCUUGGCUUCUGCAGUCAGUCUCCUUGCCAGUGACAACAUCAGGGCAGCAGUGGAAAAAGACACGCUUUCAGUUGCUGGAUAAAGUGUCUUCACCGUCUUGGCAAGAAUCCCUUCACUGCCUGAGGGACCUGUCCUAGGUGCCAGAGUGAGCAGGGAGGAACACAGGUGUGUCUCGGUGGCUGGAGAACCCAGCCAGGACGACGCCCAGUUUGGAACUGUACCGAAGCUGAGCCCUGCCUUGCACGGCUGAAGCUUAGCCACAGAGGCGGAACUUCCCUGGCUUUUCCUGGAAGCGGAAGCCGUGAAAUGGCCAAAGCACAAGACAGGGUGGUGCAGUUUUGCUCCCGCGCGAUCACCGUUGGCCACGCGCCUCGGUCUCUAUCUGUAAAAGAGAUCCGCAUCUCUGGUAUUUGAUGCUGGAGAGAAAAAUGUGCGGCCUCCGCCCAACCUUGAGUUUCCUGCUCCACCGCGCCCUCUCGUGGUUAACUGGACUCACGGCUUUCUCGCCCCCAACCCCAACCACCUAAAUUGCGGUUCUCAACCUUGGCUGAGCGUGGGAAUCACCCGGGGACCUGCGAAACACCGAUGCCUGGGUACCGGACUCUAUCCGCGCCUCCCCCUGCGAGAGAUUCUGACUUAAUUGGCCUGAUGCAAUCCGGGCGUCCCCUGGGGAUCACAGUGUGCAGUCAAGGCUGGGAAACACUGACCCACCUCUGCUCUGCCAGGGAUCCUGCGUUUGGCUGACGACAUUUCUCUUGUCAGAGCCCACCGGACUCUGCUUUCCGGAUAUAAAGGAUCCUUUUGCAAGUCUAAACACCUCAAUGUCGGCAUCACACCCUCAAGCAUCCACCCUCUACUCCUGAAAUACUCAUGAUUAAUAUGUGCUUUUAAUUUCUAUUGCUGGAGAAAAUGUUUCUGAAAAAUUGCACUUACAUAAAUAGAUAAGGCAUAUUAUUUGUAUUAUCUGCUGACAACAUCCGUGAUGUGUGCAUGUGUGUGCUGCGUAUGCACAGAGCUUCCUCACUAUAAUUUCAGGAGCUUCUCAGGGCCUUAGGUCAGAGAUCCGCUAGCCGUGCCAGGGCACUCUGGCCCUAAUGUUAAAAAUAGACCAUGGCUUUAGCCACUCCUGUCAGUAUCUUGUCUCACUGCCCAGUGCUCCAUUCAUCAGGAGAAAUUCCUGAGCUGCUGCCCAGCCAGUCAGCCAGGCCCAACUGAAAUUCCCAGGGGGCCUGUGAGGGGGGUCACACGUACUCUUAGCUUCUAGGCUGGACCUCAGGACUCCUAGCAGAAGGAUAUCCACUGUGGCCCUGCGACCUUGUCAAUCGUUUGAUUCACAGCCUCUCAGUGACACUGGCACUCAAUGAGAUGGGCUCCUUUCAUGACACGGUCACCACCAUCAUCACAAUCUCCAGCAUUUUUGGGUUCCUACUAUGUGUACAGCAGUUUUCAGGAACAUUUAUUAUUUAUUUAUUGAGACAAGAGUUUCCCUCUGUCACCCAGGCUGGAGUGCAGUGACAUGAUCUCAGCUCACUGCAACCUCAGCCUCCUGGGCUCAAACGAUUCUUGUACCUCAGCCUCCCAAGUAGUUGGGAUUACAGGCACUCACCACCACACUAGCUAAUUUUUGUAUUUUUAGUAGAGAUGGGGUUUCGCCAUGUUGGCCAGACUGGUCUUGAACUCCUGACCUGAAGUGAUUUGCCCACCUCGGUCUCUCAAAGUGCUGGGAUUACAGGUGUAAGCCUCCAUGCCUGGCCUAUUUUAAAGGAACUUAUAAACAUUAGAAAAUAGUGUCUUUGUCAUCCAAAAAUGUAUAGUCCAGUGGGAGAGAGGGUAAUAACAUGGGGACAUGUGAGAAAAUAAAGUUCUG
rnacentral:lncRNA from 1 species